rnacentral:lncRNA from 1 species
UACAUUUCCGCCAUAAUUCGGGUUCAUUCCUAUAUUCAAGCUCAUUCCAUAGCCUGAACCAAAAGGAGCAAACCCGGUCCUUCCAGCAGUGAUUGGACUAAACCUACCAUCCAUCCUGACACCCAACCCUCCUAAUGCAUUAGGUGAGUAUCCUUGAUUGUAGCCAUUUAGGACACUACUCAUCCUGCCCAAACCAUAGUUGAAACCACCAAGCGGACUUCGGUUAGGACUAGGUGUUAGCUCUUUUGGGACAGCACGCUUGACCUCUACCAUUUUACCAUUAAGCUCAUGAAAAGUUCUAAGCAGCACAUUGUCCACCGAAUCCUCGGAAUCGUAAGUUAUAAAACCAAAUCCUCUUGGUCUCUGAGUGUUGUGGUCAUACAUCACCACAACAUCUGUCACAUUUCCAAACUGCUCAAAGUAACUUCUAAAGUCACUUUCUGUGACGGUAGAAGCUAAACCUCCGACAAAUAUUUUUCUAGUGCGAACUGGACCUGGAGAGCCCUGAAUGCUACCACUGUUUCUACUAACUGCGCUGCUAUGAUCGUCCUUUGGAACAGCCUUUUUUGCUUCAACCUGUCAGCAAAAAUUCAACAAUGAAGACCAAGCACAGACUUAACCAAAUCAUGGAUUAUUGCUUCAAGAGACUUAAAACAAAUGGGCUUAAAACAGCUAUUCCCGGGUGCAGGAGUCUACAAAGACAGUUGGUGCAAGAUCAGACAAGUGAAAAGUGCAAUAACGCAGGAGCAAAAAUAUCUUCCCAAGAAGCAGACAACAAAAGAUCCCCGUGUUUAAUCUUUAUUUACACUUAAAUAGGUAAUUCGCAAUUCAGAUUUCAAACUCCUAUACAACAUCAUAAGAAGAAUAAAUAGCAUGUUUAAUCAAACUCCUGGAAAAGAUAAUCUUUAAGGCUUGAUAAUUAAACAUCUUUUUCCUAUUGUAGAGUAACAUUCUUUAACACAUUAUUUUUGUAACUAAGAUAAUCUAACAUAACCAUAAAUUACCAGCCUGCCAUCAAUAUUGUGCUUCUCCUUAAUAACCCUAUCAGCAACAGCAGGGUCCGCAAACACAAUAAAUCCAAAACCACGAGCUCGUCCAGUAGUCCGAUCUUUCAUAAUCACAGCUUCAAGGNCGCUCUUCAUCAGUGUCCCAUGAGAUUCCACCGAUAAAUAAUUUUCCGAGAUCAGACUGCAUAUUUCCUACACCAACAACAAAUAAUAAAUUCGAUCAAACCAAGCAACCCGAUCAAAUACAGACUGAACUUACAAGUCACUUGAACACAUUCAACCAAAUUUCCAACCUAAGAUGGAUCUAGUCAUCUAGUAGAUACCACAAAUUCCAAACCAGCCACGAACUCAUCAAAGUUCCGAUUUUUCAAUAGCCCAUUAAGUAAAAUGCAGAACAAAAGUAAUCAAGAAUCAACUUUUUACACUCAGUCUCAAAACCCACAAAAAAAACACAAAUCUUAUUAUGUACAACAACUCAGUUUUAUCAGAUUCAAGUAUAUAUCAUCGGAUCCAUUGCUGAUCAACCCAACAAAAAAUUUAGGCCUCCUACAGAAACAAUAAAAUUAAAUACAAUCAACAAACUUGACAAUCUAACAAAAUCCAUUUUGAUACAUAGUACAGAUGAUAAAUUUACAAGUAAAGAGUAAAUACACAAGUAUAGAUCUUGAUAAAUACCCACCUGAUUAAAACUAAAGGGCGAUGAAAAAAGAUGAAAACUACUAAGAUCUGCAAGGAGUUGUUGUAACAAGAAGCGAAAGCAUGUUCAUAGUCCUCUCUAUACGCCCCCUGUUUUUAUGUUUCAAUCUCCUUCAAAUAUAUAUUUUUUCUGUUAAUGCGGAAUUGGAAACACCAACACAGAUGAGAAGAUGGAUGUCAUAUCCUCACUAUAUAUAUGUCCUGACGAUUGGUAAGCGUGUGUGCGUAUAUCUUUAUACGAAAUGAGAUUUUUGUUGUGAUAAAUUAUAAAUGGGUUAAUUAUCUAUUUGGUCACUCAAGUGGGCUUAAUGUAUCAAAUUGGUCACUGAACUCAAAACGGUAUCAAGAUGGUCACUGAAGUGACCAUAAAUAUCAAAAAAGUACCUUGAAAUAUAAGUUGAAGCAGUAAAAGUAUUAUUUAUAAAGUUUUACACAUUAUUUUUGAAUAUUACCAAAACCAAGUAAAAGGUUAUGACUUCUAAUAUUUAUGAUAAUAUAUUUAGAUUUUAUCAAGUUUAUUUAUUAUUUAUUUUUAAUUAAAACAAAAAAAUAACUAUAAAAUAAAAUAUAAAUAAUAAAUAAACUUGAUAAAAUAUAAAUAUAUUAUUUUAAAUACUAGAAAUCAUAACUUUUUAGUUGGUUAUGCUAACAUUUAAAAAUAAUGUUUAAAACUUUAUAAAUAAUAUUUUUACUACUUGAACUCAUAUUUUAAGGUACUUUUUUGAUAUUUAUAGUGACUUUAGUGACCAUCUUGAUACCGUUUUGAGUUCAGUGACCAACUUGAUACAUUAAGCCCACUUCAGUGACCAACUUGAUAAUUAACCCAAUUAUAAAUAUCGAUAUUUUUAAAACUUUUAUUGAAAGGAGGAGUUGUAACAUUUAUUAAACAAAUUUGUGCAGUGUAGGAGGCUAGGAGCUAUUAAUCGAUAGGCAAUUGCUCAAAUAAAAAUCACUAAAAUAAAAACUAAAAGAGAUAUCAAGAAAAAUUAUACCCAAAUGACUUCACCCGCCCCCUAUAUGUCAUCAGCCACUCCCUAUAUGUCAUCACUCAUCUAAGGCCACCUUCACCCCACUCAAUUCACCCCGGGUCCGCUAAGGCUUCACCUCACAUGCCCUAAUCAGACUCCAGAUAGUCUUAAAAGAGCCAACCCUUGGCCCCACCAUGGUCUUAUUAGACCCCGACCCGGCCCUACUAUGCCCCAAUUAGAUCCCGUCUAGGACCAUCUCGGGGUCUAUCCUCAGUCCCAAAAUCCGCAUCAUUAUACUUAAUCGCAUUGGUUUCUAUUUAGUUUCCAUUCUAGUAGUUUCUAUUGGAGUAGGACCCUUAAUCAGUAUUUAAAUCUUUAUGAGAUGAUUUCACUAUUAUAAAAUUUAAUUAUUAAAUUGUAAUUAACUUUGUCAAGAAUCAGGUUUGAGGGGUCUUGUAUGACUCAUCCAUUUUUCUAUCAUUUUUGCAAGACUGAAUUGACUACUUUUGUCCAUGUGGUGCAAAAAAAUAAUUAUAUCUUUGGGCUGUGUUACUGUAUCAAACAUGUCAAUCUAUAUUGUGCAUUCAUCAAAAUGAUCUAUUAAAAUUACAGUUUCACUUGAUUAGUUUAUUAGAUUUUUAUUAUAAAGAUUUUGGUAAUAAAUGUGGUCGGUCUUUAAAAUUUUGUUUCAGAUUAUGUUCCUUACAGCUAACAUGAAAAAAAUUAAUGUUAUGUGUCGAAAUUCUGAUAGAAAGUUAAUUCUUAAUAAAUAUCCGUUCAUGAUAUUUUUACACUUACGUUAUCAAUUAUCAUUAAAAAUAAGUUCUUAUCUGUAUUUAAUUUCUUGAUUAGUUAUUUGGUAAAUUUAAAUAAAAAUUCUCAUCAUCAGGUCAUUCAAUCAUUUUAUGAUGUGUUUUUUAAUGAGAUUUUGCUAUUGACAAAAUGUAGUAUAAAGUAAGUAUAAACCAAUUUUAUGAAUUAUAAACUAUACCAAAAUCUUUCGUGUGAUAUAGUAGAAAAAAAUUGUAUCGAAAACCCACACAUAGCAAAGGGAAAAGUCAUGUCAUGAAGUCUUGUAUAAUAGAGUUCAAAAUGUAAUAGAAAGAAGUGGGUUGUUUUUGGACGGAUUUAUUUACUUUUUAUUUGGUAGAGUCAUAUUCGGUCAUUACUAAAAUAUUUAGUUAUUUUAACUUAUAUGCAUCUCUCGAGUCUAUUUAUUUUUUUAUGUGCUUAAAUGUUAUUAAAUAAAUUUCUAGAUUGUUGAAAAUUGGACUCGAAUUUCUUAUUAGCUUGAGUUAUCAUAUUAAGUGAACAGUUUUACUGAAAUCUCAAAAUAUCACGAGAAAUCCCGUAAAACUGAACUACGAUACCAUGUAAACCAACAAAUUCUCAAAUCUAAAGGUAUUAUAAGAAAUAUCAUGAAUCUUUGGCAUGGCUCGACGUGCACUUGUAUGAUUUGGAGGGACUUAAUUAUCUUAUAGUUUAGCAGAAGAUUUUGCGUAGACAGUUGUGUGUUGUACACUAAAAAUAUUAGAAAUCUUUCGAAUGAUCUCAACGCGCAUUUGUAUGGUUUGGAGAGCCUUAUUAUUUUAUAAUUUAGAGAAAAAUUGUGCAAAACGUUAAACGUAAUUAGGGUGAAAAUUUCAAGAUGUUACGAGGAAUAUUAAGAGGAAUAAGUUUGGAAGUAGUUAACAAAUGCACCUACGAGAAAUAUCUAAAUUUUUGGAUGACCAAUAUGAAUCGGUAAUGAGAAUAAAGAGCAUGAUAAUUAAAAUCGGUAAUGACAAUCAGACUACAGGGAGUAUAAGAAUGAAAGAUAUUGUAAAGAGUAUCGAUGUAUGGAUUGAAUGAUUUACCUAAGAGAAUGAUUGCAAUUAAUCCAAACACCAACACAUGCAUUUGAGAUUUUGAUUCCAUACUUAUUAACUAUUUGAGAUUCUGAUUCCGUACCAACCGCCUUCAAUUUUUUGUUUUACCGGUAGAAAGAAAUUCAUGACCAAGUAGCCAUAUUUUUUCCUUUUUAAAAACACUGUAAACUUUCAUCCAACUCAUUUAAAUAUUGCAAUCCAAUUUUAUAAAGAAAUCUGAAGUUCAAAAAACAGAAGUCGUUUAACUAAUGGACUUGCAAAUGACACUAAAGUAUUCUACUAAAGCCAUUUGGAGUUUCGACUGCCAUCCAAACAAUUCACUGCUCACAAAUUCAAUGAAGUAAUAGAUCACAAUCAACUACUUCCUCACAAAUUCAAACAAACGAUAGAUCAUAAACCAGAACGCGGUAAACUUAUUAAUUAGACCUUCGAUAGAUAUCCUCCAAAUGUUUCACAAUAAACUGUAAAAAAAAUCCUCAUCUUCAGAAGAAACAAACUAAAAAAAUGAACAGAACAAGAAAAUUAAGUUGUUCAGGACAACCAGGGUUUCUGCAGACAUAGCAGCAUGGCUAACCACAAAAGAAUCUUGAUGAUUAACCAAAACCAGAGGUCUACUCCCUGGUCUUUUUGUUUCCGAAGCAUCAUUGCCUUACCAGAAAUGCAUGAUACGCUCACUAUAUGCCGCAAACAGAUUAUACACCUCACUCAAAUUCCAAAUGGAACACCUAAAUAUAACUCAAAAUCAAAAUUCUCAAAACCAAAUCCUUUUAUAUCAUCUAUAUCUAAAACUUAAAUUCUUAGAAAACAGGCAGUCCGCCUAGCUAAAAGAUGAGAUGGUUUCUCUUUAACUUUCCCCCUGAAAAUAACAUUAACAAGGGAGGUACCCAAAAUUCACAAGUUUACUUGCUACAUCAGCUCCUUCAUCUACUAUUAAAUCAUCUUUGGUAUCCUCCUAUCCAGUAAUUCCUGCAGCAAGUUAAAAUCAUGGUCAAGGCCAUAAGAUGGUUGUAGUUGCUAACUAAUACACUGAAUGAAAAAGCAGAACAUGUUAUGUACAAAAAAUUAUGCUUAGAAUUAAAGUAGAAUAUAUCAUAGAACCAUGCACAAUUAGAGUUCACAAAUGGAUAUGUUCAACUUAUAAGUAAUGCCACUAUCAAGCAAAUUAUAUACGACCUCCGUCCAAUUUAGUAGUCACUUUGACUUUUUGCACGUAUUUUAAGGUGUAUAAAAAAUAUAGCUUAGUAAAGCACAGAACAAGCUCAGAUUAGUCAGUAGUCUAGAGCCCAACAGUAUCUGGCACUGGCAAUUGUAUAAAAUAGAUAUUGAAAUCUGGAUAAUGGUAACUGCAUACCACUUGCAUGAUGCACUGUAUUGCCUUCUACAUGUUAAUAUGACAGACUUUUCAACAGGACGUCAACGAGACAUCAGGUAACGCAAAAUGGGAAAUGUAUUUGCCACCAAGAAGUACACAUGCACAUACCCGGUAUUCUGAAAAGCAGGAAUUCUAAUAUCCCAACAUUAAAUUUCAUUCUCCUAGAGCAAGAAGUUGACUACGGUCUAUGGUCUGAGACUCUGAGUUAUAGAAGUAAAAACAACUUCAUGAAAACCAUGAAUUGCAGAGCUGCGGCAAACGUGUUCCUAGAGCUAGAAGUGUGCUAUAGUAUGAUUCUUACCUCCCCUUCCCCUAUGCUUAAAUGUUGAAAAAUAUUCACCUUUUAAACAACAAUUAUAAUAAUAAACUUUUAUACCUCUGUUAGUCUGUCUCCGGGUAACCCCGUAGCCUUCAACGUAACCUGGAGAACUAUUGAUCUGAGCAUCACUACCUCCAUCACCAAGCCCAUAACUAAAAGCUACAGAAUCCUCUUUCUCAGAAUUUGCUGCGUGCCACGUGCUGUCUCCAUAUACUGGGUGACUACCGUAGAUAUCUCCAAAAGUUGCAUCAUAACCACCAUUUGACGAGGAAUGUGAUGACAUGCGAGCACCAGUAGUAGCACUGUUUCUUCCAUAUGCUCCACCACCCAAAUUGUAACUGUUUUCAACUCCGUAUCCUAUAAUACCGCCUUGACUAGAUACAUUUCUUCCACCUUGAGCCUGAGGUGAAAUCGGAGAAUUAUCCCAGUUAAGUCCAUUAAAGCCAAAAUUUCUAGCUCCAAUACUACUGGUUCCAGAACCCACAUACCCACCUGUGUUUGUAGGAUUUGCUCCAUAAUCGAGCCCCCCAUUACCCCACAAGUUUCGAGUUUGGGAAUUAAAUAAAGAAGCAGUGUUUCCUAAAUUUCCACCAUCAAAACCCGUAGGAUUAUUUACUCUGUUUGAAUUGUAAAAAGGGCCCAUCCCCCUCCCAUAGCUAACCGAAUUGUUAAGAUUGACAUUUCCACCAUAAUUCGGGUUCAUGCCUAAAUUCAAGUUCAUUCCAUAGCCCGAACCAAAAGGAGCAAAUCCGGUCCUUCCAGCAGUGAUUGGACUAAACCUACCAUCCAUCCUGACACCCAACCCUCCUAAUGCAUUAGGUGAGUAUCCUUGAUUAUAGCCAUUUAGGACACUACUCAUCCUGCCCAAACCAUAGUUGAAACCACCAAGCGGACUUCGGUUAGGACUAGGUGUUAGCUCUUUUGGGACAGCACGCUUGACCUCUACCAUUUUACCAUUAAGCUCAUGAAAAGUUCUAAGCAGCACAUUGUCCACCGAAUCCUCGGAAUCGUAAGUGAUAAAACCAAAUCCUCUUGGUCUCUGAGUGUUGUGAUCGUACAUCACCACA